CCUUAAAGAACCUGCCUUUGCAGUGCUCACACAGAUUGUCUGAUGAACGUAAAGAAGCAAGGCGUCUUGCGAUUGAGACUUCAGUGUCCCCUUCGUCUAGAGGCCCAGGACACCGCCCUUUCACGGCGGUAACAGGGGUUCGAAUCCCCUAGGGGACGCCACUUGCUGGUUCGUGAGUGAAAGACGCGUGCCGAACUAUCUCAAAACUCAUCUUCGGGUGACGUUUGAGAUAUUUGCUCUUUAAAAAUCUGGAUCAAGCUGAAAAUUGAAACGACACACAGACAAUGUGUGUUCGAGUCUCUCAAAUUUUCGCGACACGAUGAUGUUUUACGAAACAUCUUCGGGUUGUGA
rnacentral:misc_RNA from 1 species